GAUGAACGCUGGCGGCGUGCCUAAUACAUGCAAGUCGAGCGAACAGACGAGGAGCUUGCUCCUCUGACGUUAGCGGCGGACGGGUGAGUAACACGUGGAUAACCUACCUAUAAGACUGGGAUAACUUCGGGAAACCGGAGCUAAUACCGGAUAAUAUAUUGAACCGCAUGGUUCAAUAGUGAAAGACGGUUUUGCUGUCACUUAUAGAUGGAUCCGCGCCGCAUUAGCUAGUUGGUAAGGUAACGGCUUACCAAGGCAACGAUGCGUAGCCGACCUGAGAGGAGGGUCGGCCACACUGGAACUGAGACGCGGUCCAGACUCCUACGGGAGGCAGCAGUAGGGAAUCUUACGCAAUGGGCGAAAGCCUGACGGAGCAACGCCGCGUGAGUGAUGAAGGUCUUCGGAUCGUAAAACUCUGUUAUUAGGGAAGAACAAAUGUGUAAGUAACUAUGCACGUCUUGACGGUACCUAAUCAGAAAGCCACGGCUAACUACGUG
rnacentral:rRNA from 1 species